GACGAACGCUGGCGGCGUGCCUAAUACAUGCCAGUUGAGCGCUGAAGGUUGGUACUUGUACCAACUGGAUGAGCAGCGAACGGGUGAGUAACGCGUGGGGAAUCUGCCUUUGAGCGGGGGACAACAUUUGGAAACGAAUGCUAAUACCGCAUAAAAACUUUAAACACAAGUUCUAAGUUUGAAAGAUGCAAUUGCAUCACUCAAAGAUGAUCCCGCGUUGUAUUAGCUAGUUGGUGAGGUAAAGGCUCACCAAGGCGAUGAUACAUAGCCGACCUGAGAGGGUGAUCGGCCACAUUGGGACUGAGACACGGCCCAAACUCCUACGGGAGGCAGCAGUAGGGAAUCUUCGGUAAUGGACGAAAGUCUGACCGAGCAACGCCGCGUGAGUGAAGAAGGGUUUCGGAUCGUAAAACUCUGUUGGUAGAGAAGAACGUUGGUGAGAGUGGAAAGCUCAUCAAGUGACGGUAACUACCCAGAAAGGGACGGCUAACUACGUG
rnacentral:rRNA from 1 species